rnacentral:rRNA from 1 species
GAUGAACGCUGGCGGCGUGCUUAACACACGCAAGUCGAACGGGAAAUAUUUUAUUGAAGCUUCGGUGGAUUUAAUUUAUUUCUAGUGGCGGACGGGUGAGUAACGCGUGGGUAACCUGCCUUAUACCGGGGGAUAACAGCCAGAAAUGACUGCUAAUACCGCAUAAGCGCACAGAACCGCAUGGUUCGGUGUGAAAAACUCCGGUGGUAUAAGAUGGACCCGCGUUGGAUUAGCUAGUUGGCAGGGCAGCGGCCUACCAAGGCGACGAUCCAUAGCCGGCCUGAGAGGGUGAACGGCCACAUUGGGACUGAGACACGGCCCAGACUCCUACGGGAGGCAGCAGUGGGGAAUAUUGCACAAUGGGGGAAACCCUGAUGCAGCGACGCCGCGUGAAGGAAGAAGUAUCUCGGUAUGUAAACUUCUAUCAGCAGGGAAGAUAAUGACGGUACCUGACUAAGAAGCCCCGGCUAACUACGUGCCAGCAGCCGCGGUAAUACGUAGGGGGCAAGCGUUAUCCGGAUUUACUGGGUGUAAAGGGAGCGUAGACGGCGCAGCAAGUCUGAUGUGAAAGGCAGGGGCUUAACCCCUGGACUGCAUUGGAAACUGCUGUACUUGAGUGCCGGAGGGGUAAGCGGAAUUCCUAGUGUAGCGGUGAAAUGCGUAGAUAUUAGGAGGAACACCAGUGGC